GUCUACCAUGCCACCCUGAACAAGCCUGAUGUCUGAUCUCAGAAGCUAAGCAGGGUUGGGCCUGGUUAGUACUUGGAUGGGAGGCUAUCUGGGAAGACCAGGUGCUGUAGGCA
rnacentral:rRNA from 1 species